rnacentral:rRNA from 1 species
GGGGAAUAUUGCACAAUGGGGGAAACCCUGAUGCAGCGACGCCGCGUGGAGGAAGAAGGUCUUCGGAUUGUAAACUCCUGUUGUUGAGGAAGAUAAUGACGGUACUCAACAAGGAAGUGACGGCUAACUACGUGCCAGCAGCCGCGGUAAAACGUAGGUCACAAGCGUUGUCCGGAAUUACUGGGUGUAAAGGGAGCGCAGGCGGGAGAACAAGUUGGAAGUGAAAUCCAUGGGCUCAACCCAUGAACUGCUUUCAAAACUGUUUUUCUUGAGUAGUGCAGAGGUAGGCGGAAUUCCCGGUGUAGCGGUGGAAUGCGUAGAUAUCGGGAGGAACACCAGUGGCGAAGGCGGCCUACUGGGCACCAACUGACGCUGAGGCUCGAAAGUGUGGGUAGCAAACAGGAUUAGAUACCCUGGUAGUCCACACCGUAAACGAUGAUUACUAGGUGUUGGAGGAUUGACCCCUUCAGUGCCGCAGUUAACACAAUAAGUAAUCCACCUGGGGAGUACGACCGCAAGGUUGAAACUCAAAGGAAUUGACGGGGGCCCGCACAAGCAGUGGAGUAUGUGGUUUAAUUCGACGCAACGCGAAGAACCUUACCAAGUCUUGACAUCCCUUGACGAUGCUGGAAACAGUAUUUCUCUUCGGAGCAAGGAGACAGGUGGUGCAUGGUUGUCGUCAGCUCGUGUCGUGAGAUGUUGGGUUAAGUCCCGCAACGAGCGCAACCCUUAUGGUCAGUUACUACGCAAGAGGACUCUGGCCAGACUGCCGUUGACAAAACGGAGGAAGGUGGGGAUGACGUCAAAUCAUCAUGCCCUUUAUGACUUGGGCUACACACGUACUACAAUGGCGUUAAACAAAGAGAAGCAAGACCGCGAGGUGGAGCAAAACUCAGAAACAAUGUCCCAGUUCGGACUGCAGGCUGCAACUCGCCUGCACGAAGUCGGAAUUGCUAGUAAUCGUGGAUCAGCAUGCCACGGUGAAUACGUUCCCG